rnacentral:misc_RNA from 1 species
CCCAUAGCACAACACUAGUAUUUGGGAGGCAACUACACGUUGGGCGCUCGAUCCAGGGGUGGGAAAAUCGGGCGCCCACGUUUUCCCCACCCCCGGAUCGAGCGCCCAAGCGGUAGUUGUCUCCCAAAUACUUGUGCUGUGCAUGCAUGC